GGCUUUUCAGCUAUGACUUUCAGUAGUAAUGACAUUUUAAAAUAUAUUUAUUUGCAGUAUUUGAAACCUUAUGAGCCAUGUGCCCAAAUACAAUGUAAUUCCUGCUUCCAGAAAGGAAAAAUACAUUUUAAAAUCAAGAUUUUAUUAAGAGCUUUCAUUUUAAAGCUUGUACCUCUGUAAUGAUCCUCCCCACCUCCCUCUAAUCACCUCAGCUCUUGCCAGACCUUAUUUUUGCAUCAUAACUGUUCCAUUUGUAUUUGAUUUCUUUAAUAAUAUAUUUUAAUGGAUUUGGAGAGGUGACUAGGUAGAAGUCACUGAGAAUCAGGAAACCAGUCAGUCACUGUUAGAAAAACAACGCAAGAGCAGCCCGCGAGUGCUCACUUGGUGCAGAAUUCGCUGCAGCACUGACCACUCUGGACGGGGAGGGAGCCCAGCACAAGCCGUUGCAUGCAGUACCCAGCGACUCUGGAAGCUCCUGCUCUGUAUGAGAGGGCGCCAUUAACCUAGUCUGUGCUCAUCAUAUCUUGCAGGGUGGUGUGAAUCUGGCAAUCCAACCUCUUUCCUAGUUACACUUUAGGGUUGGUAUCCUAAGCACUGACACAUAAGGAAACAGGACUGUACACUGUGGCAUAAUGGACCUUGGCAGCAAAACAAAGUGUGUGCUUCCCCAGAAGAUUAAAUUUUUAAAUGUUGCAUGUCUCUGUUUUUUUAAUUUUUUUUCAUUUGUUUAUUUUAUGUAUAUGAGUACACUGUCCUUGUCUUCAGACGCACCAGAAGAGGGCAUCAGAUCCCUCUUUUGAGCCACCAUGUGGUUGCUGGGAAUUGAACUCAGGAUCUCCGGAAGAGCAGUCGGUGCUCUUAACCACUGAGCCAUCUCUCCAGCCAUCUAAAUGUCGCCUGUCUGAUUGAGUGAGGAGUUGGUAGCAGUAAGUGCCAGGACACUGAGUCCCCUGUUAGAGUGGGAGCUGUGCUCUGACCAAACAGGAAAAGAGGGUUGGGAGGGCAUGCAAAGGAAACCUGGUUCCCUGGGCCUCUGUAAAAGCCGGGAAAUGCUACCUAUAAUAAUCUUAUGUUUCUGCCUAGAAAAGGGCUAAGCAGCUGCACCAUGGGAGUUACUUUAUACUUCCUCCUACUGUUUCCCUGUAGGGCACCUUCUGCUUCACUCUACCUUCCAGUGCCCUCACCGUUAUUCAAGCUUUUCAAACAGACCUGCUGUUGGCUUCAUAGAACUGGGAGACACAAUGGAGGGCUUUUGUCUAGAAUGUUUGAGCUUAAACUGAAAGCCAUGGAACUAAGCACCUUUGGGCUGUCUUGUUGGGCCUAAGCUGCAGAGGAGGACUGACUGAGAAAGCUGCCUUGUCUAUAAAGACCCAGCUUAACUCUGAAACACUAGUUAUGAAUGGACACCUAUUCCUCAUACUGCUUGUGUGUAUCAAAGCCAGGAAAGGAGAGAGUCAUUUUUCUGGGGUUUUUGGAGGUAGGAGGGAUGCUUUUAUAAAUGCUGAAGAAGAGGAUGUGUGGCCUAAGUGGCUACGGCUCUGAAGCUUGAGGUGCUGCUGUAUGGUGAUGAGGGUGUUUGCAGAGGAGCUGUGAGAUCUGAGAGGGGGGGGGAGGGGGGAAUGACUAGAGGUUGUCAGAGUUCUCAAAGAUCUGAACAUUGGGAGCUCAGCUCGGUGUCCUCUUGUGCUCUCUUCCUGCCUGCCCUCUGUAAAGGCUCUAAGGUUGAAGGCCUGGCCAGUGCAGCCUGCUGUGGAAUGCAGCCACAUUGUGUCAUGUUUCCUUAGGCUUUUAACUGUAGCAGAUGCCUUGUGUCUAGAGCUGAGGAAGCAAAGCCCAAGAUGCGGCACCCCCCCACCCCCACCCCCACACACACAUCUAACAUGUCUCUUCACAAGAAGACAAUGUAGCAAGAGCCCAGAGGCUUCCUUCUGACCUGCUCUGACUUUAAACCUCUGUACUGUUUCCUGUGGGAAGUACUCGCCACUUUCCAUGUGGCAUCUCUUGUAUGCAAACUAGAUUGUGCGCUCCUAGAGGGCAGAGUCCACUCUGAUCACGUUUGUGUUGUCUUCCUUACCCUUCUGGCGCCUAAUACAGUGCCUUGCACACAGACACAAUAAAUGGCAGUUGAAU
rnacentral:lncRNA from 1 species